GUGGGGAAUAUUGGACAAUGGGCGCAAGCCUGAUCCAGCCAUGCCGCGUGAGUGAUGAAGGCCUUAGGGUUGUAAAGCUCUUUCAGUGGGGACGAUAAUGACGGUACCCACAGAAGAAGCCCCGGCUAACUUCGUGCCAGCAGCCGCGGUAAUACGAAGGGGGCUAGCGUUGUUCGGAUUUACUGGGCGUAAAGCGCACGUAGGCGGAUCGUUAAGUCGGGGGUGAAAUCCUGGAGCUCAACUCCAGAACUGCCUUCGAUACUGGCGAUCUUGAGUCCGGAAGAGGUGAGUGGAACUCCUAGUGUAGAGGUGGAAUUCGUAGGUAUUAGGAAGAACACCAGUGGCGAAGGCGGCUCACUGGUCCGGUACUGACGCUGAGGUGCGAAAGCGUGGGGAGCAAACAGGAUUAGAUACCCGAGUAGUCC
rnacentral:rRNA from 1 species